AUACUGCACAGAGCCUCAUUCCUGCCACUGGCCACUGAUAAGAUAGAUUAUUUGAGCAGCUGAGUCAUUAGUAACGAACAAUAGAUUUUCCACUGAUCUUGAAUUAAAUGUAUAUUUCCAAUUAAGCAUACAAUUUAUGGAAACAAAUUUUGAAGUUGCUCAAUGUUCUAUUAAAUGACAAUGAAUAUCCUGUGUUCUUUAAUUUGUUGAGGACACAUCUAUUUCCACAAGACUGUAUGACGAAGCAAUGAAGGAAAAAAAAAACAUAGAUCAAAAACUUUUCAUGCCAGUGAAGUAUUUUAUUAAAUACAUAGUGGUCCCCAAACCA